AUGCCAGGGCUUCACAGCUGGAUGUGCUGGAGGUUCUGUGCUUCAGAGACAGGGCUCUACAAGGGAGCUGCUCGAUUCGGCCCAGCAUCAUCUUUGGUGUCAAGCUGCCCGACCUCACGGUGUCUGCAGACUGUAAAGGGCUACAACAUGAGCAUCCCAAUGCCAGGCCACCCGGUUAACUUUUCUGAGCUGACGAUGGCUCAAGCUCAGCAGGAUGUGGAACAGCUGGAGAAGCUUAUCUCUGAACACAAUGUUAGAGUCGCUGGCUUCUGACAGUCAUCGCUGCAAGCCAGAGAAAGGUAGCAUCCUCCCUCCAGUCUUUCUGUAUCCUGUAUUCAUUUAUUUUUCUGCUCACAUGGCUGCCUGACUUUUUAUUGUAGGUUAUUGUCACAGUUUUUGGUAAUUGCUACACAGAGUUUGUGCCACAUAUCUGAUUUAAGAACCUUUAACUACAAAUAACCCCUGCAUGACAUAAUAAGAGUUUUUUUUGUAUUUUACGCAUAUCAUUCUAAAAUAGGCACAUAUGUAUGUUUAUUAUUUUUAUUAUUAAUGAAUAAAUAAAUAUAUAUAAAUAAAUAAAAAUGUAUCAUAUUGAUAUGACUUAGUCUGUGUGUAAUUGCAUAUUAAAUAUAGUAUGUGCAAAAAAAUGCAGUCCAACAAACCUACCAGUUGCAGAAGAAAUUGCAUUGGAAUUUUGACUUUAAGUUUGCUUAAUUGAAACCUAAAUACGUGUGCUUCAAUGCAAAAUAUAAACAUUCUGACAGGUGUUUAAUUUUCUUUAAUAAAAAAUAAAAUAAGACCUGACAUAAGGUAGAGAUUUCACAUGAUUCAAAAACAUAGACUAUCUAUUGGAUAUGUUGUCAAUCACCUACAUUUGAAUAGAAAAGUGGAAGCAAUAUGCCACUGAAUUAUAAAAAUAGCUGUUAUUAAUAAUAAUAGUAUAGCUGCUAGGCCCCAAAGUCUGACAGCAAAUUCAACCUAAAAUCCAGUUUGAACUUGGAAAAUAACAACAUUUUGGAAUAGUUUUGUGUAAAAGCUUUUGGUUUACCUUCAGUGAUAUUGAGACUGUGAACCUUUUUAGAGAGUUAAUUAUGGCUCUCUUUCUCUGCAGUUGAUAGUUAAUGCUGCUCUGGGUUUGACACGUUUGUUGUAAUGAGACACAGCCUUAAGAAACCCAAAGAUUCACAGUCUGAAGAGUCCCCUUGUCUGCUUCCUCUAGCUCCUCGUCUUCCUCCACACCAGGUACAGCUGAAGCGUGUGUUUUCCACAGCUUGUGCUAUUGUUUAGUUAAAGUGUGUAAACCCAGAACAGAGGUCUACAGUAAACAUCAAAUGCAAAAUGUCAAGUCAUCACAGUUAAAGGAAUAGUUCACACAAAAAUGAACAUGAGCUGAAAAUGUGCUUACACUUAGGCCUUCCAAAUCUGGAGAAAUGUAGCAUUGCAUCAGUGUCUCAUCAAUGGAUGCUCUGCAGUGAAUGGGUGCCGUCAGAAUGAGAGUCUGAUAUAAACUUUACAAUAAUCCACAGUAAUCCAGUCCAUCAGUGAACAUCUGGAGAAGACAAAACCUGAAACACAUCCAGCAUUAAGAUGUAACUUGCACGUUUGUUAUCCAGCCACACAUUUGUUUAGAGCUGUUCUGGACUGUCUAGGCUUGUAAACAAUGCUUGAUCUGAAGAUGUUAAUUGAUGGAACAGAAUUGUGUAGAUUACAGUCAGUCUGUCUGAGGAACAAUAAAGCAUUAGGGGAAAUCCACACAAAGCACAUUCACACGGUUCCACCUGCCAUAUUUUGAACAUUGUGGACAUAUCUUAUGCUUUAAUCGUCUUGCACCGUGAGUGCUGUGUUCUUAAGACUGUUAAGUUACUUCUUUAAGAGUCAAGAGCCCUGCUUUGUUGUAGUCUUCUCGCUCUGUUGAUCUCACAUCUCUGAUAACUCAUCUGUAGUGACUGCUGGAGCAGGUGCGCCUCAGGAAACAUCAUCAAGCUGCUGCUUCAAGCCUGAAGCGCUCUGGUCAUCUCUAUAGCUCUGGUGGAAAAUUACUCAUUUCUUGGGAGUCA
ensembl:lncRNA